UACAGAGGGCGCGAGCGUUGUCCGGAAUCACUGGGCGUAAAGGGCGCGUAGGUGGCCACUAUAAGGCCGCGGUGAAAGUCUGGAGCUCAACUCCAGAUCUGCCGCGGCGACUGUAGGGCUUGGGCACCGUAGAGGCAGAUGGAAUUCCGGGUGUAGCGGUGGAAUGCGUAGAGAUCCGGAAGAACACCGGUGGCGAAGGCGGUCUGCUGGGCGGUGGACCCGUGAGGGUCCAAUAGCCGACACUGAGGCGCGACAGCGUGGGGAGCAAACAGG
rnacentral:rRNA from 1 species